UACGUAGGCAGCAAGCGUUGUUCGGAGUUACUGGGCGUAAAGAGUGUGUAGGCGGUUUGCCAAGUUCGGUGUGAAAUCUCCCGGCUUAACUGGGAGGGUGCGCCGAAUACUGGCAGGCUCGAGUGCGGGAGAGGAGAGCGGAAUUCCUGGUGUAGCGGUGAAAUGCGUAGAGAUCAGGAGGAACACCUGCGGUGUAGACGGCUCUCUGGACCGCAACUGACGCUGAGACACGAAAGCGUGGGUAGCAAACAGG
rnacentral:rRNA from 1 species